rnacentral:rRNA from 1 species
GUACACACCGCCCGUCACACCAUGGGAGUUGGUUUUACCUUAAGACGGUGCGCUAACCGCAAGGGAGCAGCCGGCCACGGUAAGGUCAGCGACUGGGGUGAAGUCGUAACAAGGUAGCCGUAGGUGAACCUGCAGAAGGAUCA